GUCUUUCUCAAGUUGAGCAUCUCUUUCCCACUAACCUCUCCACCAAAUCUUCUACAGGUUGGAUGUUCGGCAGGACAAGCAUGCAGUAAAUGCAGUUAACAAGGGAAGAAGAAUCUGAUUGAUGCAAAGAGAGACAAACCUCAGCUGGCUCAUUUCUGUCAUGGAAAGCAAGUGGCUCAAAGACACUCCAGAGUCUCUUUCUCUCUUGAACAUUGACUCAGGCUCUCACAUAAGGAACCAAGGAGAUCCCAGGCAUCCCAGAAAAAAAUGGGAAGAGGAGGAAGUUCUUGUUGUGCCCUGGAAAGAGCAGAUCUGGCCAAGAAUGUGCAACUGACUCCCUUUGCGUUGUGAUCACCUGCAGAUCUCGAAAGUGCUUCUAGAGAGAAACACUGCUUCCCAGCUUUCAUUUAAUGAAAAAAGAAGCAAGCAGCAUUAACACAUGAAGCAAAAUCCUCUGAGAUGUUCCCAUCAGCUCAACACACACAAAAAAAACUUCAGCGGAUUGAGCAGUGUGCAAAAAUACAUCCAAAGGAUGCUCUUCCACAUCAAACAGCACUGGCGUGCUCUUGCACAGGCUUCCAGAUGGUCCAUCUUUGGAGCCUUUUCUUUUAAGCGGAUAGCCUGAGGCACAACAGGACCAUAUCACUGCUUUAUUUAGAGCACAGAAAAUAAAAAGUCCUCCUUAGCAAAAAGAAAUUAUUUUUCUAAAAAUAAAGAUCAGUUUUCUCAGAUUUCCUUUUUAUUCUUCUUCCCCACAAAAACACAUUAAAGAGCACAGCUCUGCUGAGGUUAAAAGAGCCUCUUGGUGGUUGAUAGCUCCUGUAUUGCAGUCCUUAAUUCACAGAUACAUCUUUUUCUUUUCAAUUCUAAAUUAUGCACUCUGUGCUCGACAACUUCAAGUGCACCAGAAUGGGAUAGUUUUCGAGCCCAUACACUGUGAAUCUGUUUCUUAAGCAGCUUUCAAGGUUUUCAGAAAGGAGCCAUUAAAAUGAUAUCACACUCCAUUUCAGCAAAACAAAAAUACUGAUUUGUUGGGGUCUACUGUGAAACCAAUUGACUUUGGGAGGAAAAUCUUAAAUCAUGAUAACUAUAAACUGCUUAAAUGUGACAGGCUGACCACAGAGGUUGUGGAGUCUCCUUCUUUGGGUCUGGAUACUGUUCUGUGCAACCUCCUGUAUGGAAUCUGCUUUAGCAGGGGCUGGAACUCAAUAAUCCUCCCUUCCAACUCCUACAGUUCUAUGAUCCUGUGCUAUUAGAACAGGUCAUAAUAUCACAGAAUAUCAAGGAAAUAACCCAGCCACGCAUCUCCAGAGGAUUCAGGGCUGUGAACUGAGCAAGUUGUUUUCCCCAGCUCCGUGUUCUGAAUGGCCAAACAAGCACUUGGUGUUUCUGCAAGCUUUAUACGAAAUGGGCCUUUGUCUCCGCUGAUGUCACCACGUUUCAUCACAAGUUGAUAUAGAGCAGUAAAAUCCAACAUUACUACACUUGUGCAGUCCAACAAUGCAAGACCUGCAUGUUAAAUCUGCCUAGAACAUGCAGUGUUAAGAGUACAGUAGUGUUGUCCCACCCAUGCCCAGCUUCAGACUUAUUAUUUGAAUGUGUUAUCCUAGCUCUAAUCAGAAGAAGAAGAAGAAUGGCACAAACCUCACUUUGAUAGUGGUUAUUUUCAAUGUGGUCUCUGAGGUCUACAGGAAAAAUGACCAAGGGGGUAAUAAGGAAGGGCAUACAUGUGAGGUAUAAAUCAAAACACUUUACUAGUUCUCUGUUCUUCCUUCAAAUAUUUGUUUCACCAUGAAUCACAGAAUCAUAUGCAGAAUGGAGGGAUGGGUCUAUCAAAGAUGACCAGGGUCUGGAUGGGCAUAUCCCAGUCAUGCCACAGGUCACAGCCAUAGCUUCAGUGCAGUGUGCUGAUGUGCUGGGGCUCCAAGGCACAUCUCCUCCCAAAAAUAUACAGCUUAAGCAGACACCUGGGAAGACCUGCAAGAAGCUUUUGGUUUAGGAACCUUACAUGCAAUCCUCUCUCACACUUGGAUUUCCUUGAGAGAUCACUGCUGCAGGAUGCUAAGAUGAGCAACAUGAGUCAAUCAGAAAUACAAAGCCACUCGGUCUCAACAAAAUGCUUGGUUGUGAGUCAAACAAUACAAGUUUUGAAAACUAUUUCAGACUAAAUUCUUCCUCAGGACAUGGCCUCCAAGGGUGAAAGCUUGGUCCCACUGAGGCCAAGAGCAAAAUUCCUGCAGACCUCAGCAGGACCUGGCUCGUACCCAAAGCAAACUUUUCAAGUCCCAGCCAAACUCUUCAGCUGCAGACGUUCAUUUCUAUUAUUUUUGUAGCCUUUUUGUCCUGCAAAAGGGAUCCUUCUGCAUUGUCCAUCCAACAGUCAUUAACAAGAUGGAAGAAAUAUAAUUUGCUGUUGAAAAAAAAAUCUAUAAAUUAUUUUUUUCAAUUAGAAAUGAUAUGUCUGUAACAUGGUCUCCAAGUGUGUCAGUGGAAGUCUGGUCAGUGGAAGAGACCUGCAUAGCUCAAAACCUUCUGGGACUGGGAUUAUGCUCUGUUCUAUUUCACCUAACCCUACAGGAUCCUGCAUCUGAAACAGGGGCCUUCCAGGAACUUGGUAAAAGCAAUUAUAAACACAAGUAUUUUAAUUUUAGCCCUGUUGACUUUCCUUCUGCCAUUAUUGUUUGUCAUUCCCAGCAGACUGAAGGCAUUUUGCCUCAUGGGGAACUGCACUGUAACAAUUUUAAAGCACACUCCAAUUUUACAUUUGGAACAACGUUAACAAGUAAAACAUGAACUGUCAGUUUUACAACAAGUUUUUUAACUUCUGAUUAUUUGUUUUAAAGCUUGCAUUCCUGAAAACCAGUAGUUACAUCAAUUCUCCUUGGUGUCAGAAGAAAAUGUCUAGGACAUGCCUACGGGGUAUGGCUCAAAAUGCUGACCCCAAGCAUGUCGGCAAAACUAGAAAGCAAAUAGACCAUGUUCUCUGAGAUCACCAAUGGUCUAUCUGGGUCAUCACAUGCUGGCAGUGCUUCUCGUGUUAAAAAGUCAAGAAAUUGUGCCACAAGAUUUACCUACUGUACGACCACAGGAAUAUAGUCUAGACCAGACCUGAGUUCAGAUCUCAACUCUCUACCGAUACCCAGACAUUUUCACCAUAUGCUUGUAAUUAUGAAAUCAUUCUCAUCAGCAAGAAACACAAUACACUUUAAAGGAAAGAAAAUAAACUAGGCCUUAAUUUUACCUUCAUCUACUCCCCACACACACUGACAUUUUUAUGCAACUGGAACAGGGACUCGCCCUUCUCAUUUCUAUAUGCCAAGUUGGUUUGCUGACACAUUAUUAGACUCCACAAAUCUCUGGCUUUGUCCAGGAAAGAAAGUCAGGCUCCAGCAAAAGCAAGCUGCGUUGAACUUGCUCAAACAUGCAUAUUUCAAGCACUGUCUUCUCCCACAGCUCAAAGGACAUUGCGACACCAUCCAGAUAAAAUUUUAGUGCAACAUGCCAAAGCAGUUGCUUACAUUAAGGUUUGGUCCAAGCCACUAAAAGUAGAAGUGAAUGUAGAUCUCGAGAAACGCAUGGCUACUUUACCCUCUGAGUUUUCCAAAGCUUUUGCCCUUGGACACAGGAACUUCCAGCCUUCACAUCAUGGGGCUGCCCCUUGCCAUUGAGGUCAGGUCAAAUGAUUCCACUAGUAUUGGCUCCAGCUUUUCUCUCUUCUGAUGCAGCACCUGUGUGGUUACAACUCUGCUUAUGGUGACAAGCAGUAAGUGCUGAAAAUUUUAGUGAUACCAAAUGUGCAUCAUUUUGGCAUGUCUUGAGUCCAUUCAACCUUUCAAAUUGCAGCACGGAAAGAGAAUGGGCAAGCUGCAUCUCUGAAACAAGCUGGAAGUACUACUGAUGACUAUAAGAACCACAGCUGUUUCUUUUGAAGGUCUUCUAGUUCUCCAAAAGAGAUACAAGCAACAGAAGACAGGUCAAGCUUGAAAGUAAGGCUACUAUAGACCCAAACACGUUCCUGUAGAAGCAGCUGCAGGAUGGCCCAGAUGCAUGAACUUAAUUCUGAUUCAAAUGUGCUUUCAGAGCAGUUUGGCACAUUAGAUAGUAUUUGGUCAUGUUCACACAUACAUCAGGAAGUUUCUAGUUUGCCAGAUACACUGGCCAUCUUGUAUUGCUUUCAGGCAGCCUCCCUCAUCUGGCUUUCACAAUAUAACAGAAUUCCUGAGAAUAUUUUGCUGUAAAACUAAGCUUUGCCAGAGGGAGAACUUCACAUGCAAAUGACUUCUGCAUCACCCUUGAAGAACCAGUCCACAGAGCUACGUAUAAUGUCUCCUUCCUCUAUCUGUUCACCUCAGAUCAACCCCUUGUAGGAAAUUUUAAGUACUGCAGUCAUCUGUGAGUCAUUCGUGGCAUCUAUGCCACGCAUAUAACCACCUGAAGUGAGCACCAGAGCCAAGCUUCAUGCUCUGGAAGAACACGCUGUUCCCUCUGUCGCACGUCUUAGUCCUUUGGUGGCUGCUGUAAAGGCCCUUCCUCCUGCUACGGUCACAAAGAGGAAAGGAUGGAAGACAUUUUAUAUAUAUAGUUACAUUCACAUUAUGUGCACAUACAUAGUUGAAAACAAAUGAAUGUACCAAAUAAAUGGGGAGUUUUUGUAGAGCUUGUUAUCUCAAAGUUGAUUUUCCCUGGGAUCAAAGUCCAACUUCUCCCACAGCCCAAACCACUUUCUGACCAAAUUCUGAAAAUUCCUGUUCUUCACCCAAAAAGGAAAACAGGCAGCUCCCACUGCUUUCUAAGCCAUGUGUUUUCCUCUGUAGGAGAAACCAAUUGUAUUUUUGACAACUUCCUCAAGUUAGCGGCAGUUGAGAAGCAGAUGACGUCUGUGGUAUACCAAAACCCCAAUGCCCUGACGCACAUUUGCCCUGGAUCACGAAAUGAGUUGCAAAAUGAUGACACCGUGAAAAUGCCAGAUAGCAUCAGCAAAAGCCGGGAUUUCUUUGAAGGGAGCAGCCAUUUUCCCCUCCCAAAACAAGCUAAUGUAUGAGAACGAGGAGAACACAUGUCUUACUGAUGCAACCCCCAUGGUGAGCAGGUUGUAAAUCUCCACUCUAAGCAGGACAUCAGCUUAUAUGCAGGAAUAAGGGCUCGGAGUACUUGAGCAGUUGGCCACAGACGCACAAACUCUCACACCUUAAGAAGACACCAAAUGCUUUCCACCACAAUGGAAAUAAUAAAGUCAUUUUCUUUUUUCUUUCUUUUCAAGUGCUGUUGAGGGUUUUUCCUCAACGAAAUGGUGUUC
ensembl:lncRNA